ACGUAAUAACCAUAUAAUCGUAAUCGUAAUAAGCAUAUAAUCGAGUCAUAAGUAUUACAAGAUCUAGUGUGCCUUGGACACAACUGUCAACUUGGAUUGUUGAAAUACUAAAGAAAUUCAAACGUUUAGUCAGUCGUCUCUCGAAAAUCGGCGAGUUUUCAAACGGAAUAACCAGAAAAACAAAAUUUAUUAUUUGGUUUUUCAUUUUUUUUAUCAAGAACGUGCUCAACAAAAUGAGCGGCGAGAACAAAUUCAGAUUCUCGUGGAACAUGAAAAAGGAGCGGCGGACGUGGUGCCCCAGCCACUGUGGCGUCCCAGAGUGUUGAGCAGGGAUCGGGAUCAGGAUCGGGAUCAGGUUCAGGAUCAGGAUCAGGAUCAAGAUCAGGAUCGGGAUCUGCCACCUCCAGGCAGGCGGUGGAGCAGCUGUCGCUGGUCAGAUCGCUGUUCUGCAGCAAGGAACCCUACUCCUCCUUGAGCUCCUGGAUGAACGAAAGGGCGCUCCAUCUCCGUAUUUUAGAUGUUUGAGAUGGGUCCUCCAUAUAUUUUACGCUUACCUAUUGCCGGCAGCCGGGUUAUCCAUAGUAGGAGACCUGUUCUUUGGUGUUGCUGUUAGAGGCGCAAGCAUCCUGGGAUACGUAAAAUUGGCAGUACAGUGACAUUUGUCUGCACAGGAGUCCUGAGACCCAUUGAAUUGGCAGUACUGCGACUCUGGAGGGUUCCCAAUUCCCUGCACUUGGCUAUAAGUAGCUUAGGUGGUUGAGAA